rnacentral:rRNA from 1 species
AUUGAACGCUGGCGGCAGGCCUAACACAUGCAAGUCGAGCGGAUGACGGGAGCUUGCUCCUUGAUUCAGCGGCGGACGGGUGAGUAAUGCCUAGGAAUCUGCCUGGUAGUGGGGGACAACGUUUCGAAAGGAACGCUAAUACCGCAUACGUCCUACGGGAGAAAGCAGGGGACCUUCGGGCCGUGCGCUAUCAGAUGAGCCUAGGUCGGAUUAGCUAGUAGGUGAGGUAAUGGCUCACCUAGGCGACGAUCCGUAACUGGUCUGAGAGGAUGAUCAGUCACACUGGAACUGAGACACGGUCCAGACUCCUACGGGAGGCAGCAGUGGGGAAUAUUGGACAAUGGGCGAAAGCCUGAUCCAGCCAUGCCGCGUGUGUGAAGAAGGUCUUCGGAUUGUAAAGCACUUUAAGUUGGGAGGAAGGGCAGUAAGCUAAUACCUUGCUGUUUUGACGUUACCGACAGAAUAAGCACCGACUAACUCUGUGCCAGCAGCCGCGGUAAGAC